GAGUAACGCGUAUGCAACUUACCUAUCAGAGGGGGAUAACCCGGCGAAAGUCGGACUAAUACCGCAUGAAGCAGGGGUCCCGCAUGGGGAUAUUUGCUAAAGAUUCAUCGCUGAUAGAUAGGCAUGCGUUCCAUUAGGCAGUUGGCGGGGUAACGGCCCACCAAACCGACGAUGGAUAGGGGUUCUGAGAGGAAGGUCCCCCACAUUGGUACUGAGACACGGACCAAACUCCUACGGGAGGCAGCAGUGAGGAAUAUUGGUCAAUGGGCGUAAGCCUGAACCAGCCAAGUCGCGUGAGGGAUGAAGGUUCUAUGGAUCGUAAACCUCUUUUAUAAGGGAAUAAAGUGCGGGACGUGUCCUGUUUUGUAUGUACCUUAUGAAUAAGGAUCGGCUAACUCCGUGCCAGCAGCCGCGGUAAUACGGAGGAUCCGAGCGUUAUCCGGAU
rnacentral:rRNA from 1 species